UACGGAGGGUGCAAGCGUUGUCCGGAUUUAUUGGGUUUAAAGGGUGCGUAGGUGGCCCGUUAAGUCCGGGGGGAAAGCCCACUGCUCAACAGUGGAACUGCCCUGGAUACUGACGGGCUUGAGUCCAGACGAGGUUGGCGGAAUGGAUGGUGUAGCGGUGAAAUGCAUAGAUACCAUCCAGAACCCCGAUUGCGUAGGCAGCUGACUAGGCUGGUACUGACACUGAGGCACGAAAGCGUGGGGAGCGAACAGG
rnacentral:rRNA from 1 species